CCGUAAAAUCACUUACACCAAUAUCGCCAGGGUACUACGAGCCUAGCUUAAAACCCAAAGGACUUGACGGUAUUCCACCCAACUAGAGGAGCUUGUCCUAUAAUCGAUAAUCCACGUUAUACCUAACCAUUUUUUGCUUUUUUCAGCCUGUAUACCUCCGUCGUAAGCUUACCGCAUGAGCGUACAGUAGUAGGCUUAAUGGUCUACAACCUAACACCACCACGUCAGGUCAAGGUGCAGCUAAUAAAAUGGAAGAGAUGAGCUACAAUUUCUACCCUAGAACAAACAAAACGCUGAAUGAAACACAGCUAAAAGGUGGAUUUAGAAGUAAGUAGGAAAUAGAGAGUCCUACUAAAAUCGGCCCUGGAAUGUGUACAAACCGCCCGUCACCCUCUUCGAUAACAACAAAUCAGCUUUAUAACAUAACUAAUUACUUUCAGAUGAGGUAAGUCGUAACAUGGUAAGUAUACUGGAAAGUGUACUUGGAACAA
rnacentral:rRNA from 1 species